UAAAUACUCUCUCCGUCCUGAAAUACUUGUCGGGGAAUGGAUGUAUCUAGACAUAUUUUAAUUCUAGAUACAUCCAUUUUUAUGCAUUUCUCCGACAAGUAUUUUUGGACGGAGGGAGUAAUAG
rfam:Triticum aestivum genome assembly, contig: Triticum_aestivum_CS42_TGACv1_scaffold_640735_T_5BS-0.145290_3AS-0.135973